UACAGAGGUCUCAAGCGUUGUUCGGAUUCAUUGGGCGUAAAGGGUGCGUAGGUGGCGUCGUAAGUCGGGUGUGAAAUUUCGGAGCUUAACUCCGAAACUGCAUUUGAUACUGGCGUGCUUGAGGACUGGAGAGGAGACUGGAAUUCACGGUGUAGCAGUGAAAUGCGUAGAUAUCGUGAGGAAGACCAGUGGCGAAGGCGGGUCUCUGGACAGUUCCUGACACUGAGGCACGAAGGCCAGGGGAGCAAACGGG
rnacentral:rRNA from 1 species